UACGUAGGGGGCAAGCGUUGUCCGGAAUUAUUGGGCGUAAAGAGCGUGUAGGCGGUCCGGUAAGUCGGCUGUGAAAGUCCAGGGCUCAACCCUGGGAUGCCGGUCGAUACUGCCGGACUAGAGUUCGGAAGAGGCGAGUGGAAUUCCCGGUGUAGCGGUGAAAUGCGUAGAGCUCGGGAAGAACAUCGGUGGCGAAAGCGCUCUGCUGGACUGCAACUGACACUCAGGGACGAAAGCUAGGGGAGCGAAUGGG
rnacentral:rRNA from 1 species